UAAAGCUACUUUCGCAUGAAAGAAGUUUAAAAGGCGGCGUAAAGCUGUCGCUAAAGGGAUGGGACCUGCGAUGCAUUAGCUAGUUGGUAAGGUAACGGCUUACCAAGGCGAUGAUGCAUAGCCCGAGUUGAGAGACUGAUCGGGCCACAUUGGGGACUGAGACACCGGGACCCAAAACUCCUACGGGGAGGCAGCAGUAGGGAAUCUUCCACAAUGGACGAAGUCUGAUGGAGCAACGCCGCGUGAGUGAAGAAGGUUUUCGGAUCGUAAAAGCUCUGUUGUUGGUGAAGAAGGAUAGAGGUAGUAACUGGCCUUUAUUUGACGGUAAUCAACCAGAAAGUCACGGCUAACUACGUGCCAGCAGCCGCGGUAAU
rnacentral:rRNA from 1 species